AGAGAGAGAGGGGAAAAAAAAAAAAAACACAGAAUAAUUUGGAUUGAUCGGAGGCCCCUCCAGUGCAGGCGCCGCCGCGAGAAAGGGAGGGAUUAUUUUCAACCCAGUCCACAACACCAGCAACAAUAACAACUGAUCAAGGAGCUUCAAGUAACUGGAUUAUUUGCACCGGAGCCAAAGAGGUAUUUGGAAAAAACAGGCAGGGCCUGGGAAAGGAGAGAACAUGGGCGGGUGACGUACUGGAAAAAGAGCAGUGAAAAUCGCUUACUUACAGGAGGGGCUCGUUCCAAAAAGGAAGAAAAGGAGGUUUGAGCAGAUGGGAAGAAAACCUUUCGCUGGGUCAGCCCUGCUCUUCAACCUUGACUUAUAGUAGGUUAGUGUAGGGGUCUCCAACCUUGGCAACUUUAAGCCUGGAGGACUUCAACUCCCAGAAUCCCUCAAUUCUGGGAGUUGAAGUCCACAAGUCUUAAAAGUUGCCAGGUUUGGAGACCUCUGUGUUAGGACAAUGCCAGAAGUCGUCCAUUACUGGAAGGUUCACGAAGAACCUUCAUGACAGAGAAGUUCCAGGGGCCUUCUCCUCUUCUUGUGUGAUGUGGACCCUAGCUACACCCUUGCUGUGGUUGACAUCUGUUCCCCGUCAUGUCCUCGUUGGCUUGCAAGUCCAACGUUCAAGGUCAACUUCUACAGAGCUCAGGUUGGAGAAGGCUGGGUACUUAUUCUGUCUCUCCAGUCAGACCAAACUUGGUUAUUUGCUCAGGUCCACAAAUCACUAUCAGCUCAACCCAAUCUCACAAUCCCUUUCUCUGUUGAUCCUUUAGCUCUGUGGCUUCCCGUAUUUAAUCUGAUUUAUGUCCCACCACUCAAGGCCCUCGGCUGUCUUAAACGAUGGUCCUUGCAGUUUCCCAUUUCUGUAAUGUCCUCCACAUCUGUUAGGGAGAGAUGAUCCUCAUUUAUUUCAGCCCAGGUAUAUCCUUCUUUCCUUCUUCCUAUAUGCAAACAUCCCUGCCUUGUCCGAAAUUUGGGAGAGUGUCCUGGGAACAAUUUUGGAACCAGGCCUCCAAACAUCUGGCCAGGUUACCCAGAAGCUUGUGGGCCUGGUCCAUGAAACAGGCCAACUAUCCAACAUUCAGGAGCAAGGCAAGAACGAAGAACUGUGCAACCAUGGACUCAUUACAAGCUCUGGCUGUUUGCACCUCACAUGUCAAGACCAUCAUCCAUAAUUAGGAAUUUUCUUUGGAAGCCCAUUCCUUACACAACAGAAGUAUAUAUCUGAAGGAAGGCAAGAUAUACCUGAGGAUGGGAAUAGGACGAGGAACUGGAUCUGAAGAGUAACACGAUUGUCCAUUGGAUCUGGCUUUCUCCGUUGACUUUCAGGCAAAAAGGGAUCGCAUGACCCCGGGACGCUGUGACCGUCAUAAAGACGAGUCGAUUGGAAAGCGUCUGAAUUUUGACUGUGGGGAAGCUGUCACGUUCAUGUGAAAAAUGGCCAUAAGUCAUUUUUUUCUCCCAGGGCAGUUGUAACUUUGAACCGUUCACUAAGUGAACUUUCGUAAGUGGAGAACUGCCGUGAUUUGCAAUCUUUCAUCCGCCUUCAAGUGCUUUGGAAAAUACCGUUUCCCCCAAAAUAAG